rnacentral:rRNA from 1 species
UACGUAGGGUGCGAGCGUUAAUCGGAAUUACUGGGCGUAAAGCGUGCGCAGGCGGUUUGCUAAGACCGAUGUGAAAUCCCCGGGCUCAACCUGGGAACUGCAUUGGUGACUGGCAGGCUAGAGUAUGGCAGAGGGGGGGGUAGAAUUCCACGUGUAGCAGUGAAAUGCGUAGAGAUGUGGAGGAAUACCGAUGGCGAAGGCAGCCCCCUGGGCCAAUACUGACGCUCAUGCCACGAAAGCGUGGGGAGCAAACAGG